AUUGAACGCUGGCGGCAGGCCUAACACAUGCAAGUCGAGCGGCAGCGGGGCAGUAGCUUGCUACUUUUGCCGGCGAGCGGCGGACGGGUGAGUAAUGCCUGGGAAAUUGCCUUGAUGUGGGGGAUAACUACUGGAAACGGUAGCUAAUACCGCAUAAUGCCAACGGGCCAAAGAGGGGGAUCUUCGGACCUUUCGCGUCCAGAUAUGCCCAGGUGGGAUUAGCUAGUUGGUGAGGUAAGGGCUCACCAAGGCGACGAUCUCUAGCUGGUCUGGGAGGAUGCUCAGCCAGACUGGAACUGAGACACGGACCAGACGCCUACGGGAGGCAGCAGUGGGGAAUAGUGCAUAAUGUGGGAAACCCUGAUGCAGCCAUGCCGCGGGUGUGAAGAAGGCCUUCGGGUUGUAAAGCACUUUCAGCGAGGAGGAAAGGUCAGUAGCUAAUAUCUACUGGCUGUGACGUUACUCGCAGAAGAAGCACCGGCUAACUCCGUGCCAGCCGCCGCCGUAAAAC
rnacentral:rRNA from 1 species